UACAUAACGAGAUCGACGCGAGCGUCGCG
rnacentral:sRNA from 1 species